rnacentral:rRNA from 1 species
GACGAACGCUGGCGGCGUGCUUAACACAUGCGAGUCGUACGGUAAGGCCCUUUCGGGGGUACACGAGUGGCGAACGGGUGAGUAACACGUGAGUAACCUGCCCACAACUUUGGGAUAACGCUAGGAAACUGGUGCUAAUACUGGAUAUGUGCUCCUGCUGCAUGGUGGGGGUUGGAAAGCUCCGGCGGUUGUGGAUGGACUCGCGGCCUAUCAGCUUGUUGGUGGGGUAGUGGCCUACCAAGGCGGCGACGGGUAGCCGGCCUGAGAGGGUGACCGGCCACAUUGGGACUGAGAUACGGCCCAGACUCCUACGGGAGGCAGCAGUGGGGAAUAUUGCACAAUGGGCGCAAGCCUGAUGCAGCAACGCCGCGUGCGGGAUGACGGCCUUCGGGUUGUAAACCGCUUUCAGCAGGGACGAAGCUUUUUGUGACGGUACCUGCAGAAGAAGCACCGGCGAACUACGU